rnacentral:tRNA from 1 species
UAGCAGUUAGUUUAAUAAAAACAAAUGAUUUCGACUCAUUAAUUUAUGCUUAAUACAUAACUGCUAA